GUGAUAUAUCUGAUCCACCAGUCACCAACCUCGGAAAUGAUGAAGAGCUUUCAACAAACGUGCAACGCUCUUAAAAGGAUCGGUUCUUAAAGACUGUUUUAGAUAUGCUGGGUUUGGUGAACACAGCCUCCUACUGUCUGGUUUCGUGAGCCUGUGUGCCACUUUCUCUUCUAAGCUGACCGGAGUGGCAGCCGGUGUGGUCUACUGCAAGUGUACCCCAGCUGCCUCAGGGUUUGGCGUGUUGUGCGUUCCAAGAUGCUCUUCUGUGCCGGCCAGGACGCUGCGCUGUGGGACACUGUCACCGGUCCUCGGCCCUCCUCCUGCUCGACACCUACCCAUCAGUCGUCCCGGGCUGAAGUGAUGGUCCAUAGUUGCCUGAGGGAUCAGAGUGGUGCUGUUUCUCCACCCAGCCUGAACCUCUCCAGCUGCUACACAGCAAUGCCUGAUGACAACUUACUCCAUGUGGAUGGCCAAGCGGGUGUGGACCCAGAAACAAUGCCUGCAAACACUGCAGCUUUCCCACCACUGGUGGCUGAUGACACCAGAGCGGCCGGCCACCCCACCAUGAAGCCAAAUAAACGGACCUCAUCCUGGCGUAGGAUGCUACAGUUACAGCAUUCUCCUCUCCGGGCACAAAGUAAGGACUAUGCACUUCUCUUGCGUAAGAACACACAGCCUCAAUCUGUCGUGCCAAAA